rnacentral:sRNA from 1 species
UAUCUGGAGCCCGCCUAGAUGGCGCCGG